GCAUUAGAAGAAAAUUUAAGGCCUGACCCUAUGGGCCUCUCAAAGUGUCCCAUGCCAGAGUGAACUGUAACCCUGAACCAUGGCCUGGCUUUGUCCCAUGGGUGUCGGGCACUGAAGCAGGUUUCACAGUG